rnacentral:tRNA from 1 species
GGAGGCGUAGCCCAGUUGGUUAGAGCGCCACGUUGACAUCGUGGAGGUCAUAAGUUCGAGCCUUAUCGUCUCCACCA